rnacentral:tRNA from 1 species
GCCGAGGUGGUGGAGAGGUCAAUCACUGCAGACUGUAAAUCUGCCGUCCGAAAGGGCUACGCCGGUUCAAAUCCUGCCCUCGGCA